CGCCUCUUGAUAAUUUAUAAGAGGUCCAGCCUGCCCAGUGACUCUGUUCAACGGCCGCGGUAUCCUAACCGUGCGAAGGUAGCGUAAUCACUUGUUCUUUAAAUGAGGACUAGUAUGAAUGGCCCCACGAAGGCUACACUGUCUCCUUUUCCUAAUCAAUGAAACUAAUCUUCCCGUGAAGAAGCGGGAAUAAUAAUAUAAGACGAGAAGACCCUAUGGAGCUUUAAACUAUAGAAACAUUUGCUUUAUACCUUUAACCCUCCCGAGAUUUUCCGAAUAUUUAAGCAAUUUUUAUUUCUAGUUUUAGGUUGGGGUGACCACGGAGUAAAAUACAACCUCCUCGAUGAAAGAGAUUUUCUCUUAGCUAAAAGCUACCUCUUUAAGCACCAACAAAUUGACUCUCAUUGACCCAAUUAAUUGAUCAACGAACCAAGUUACCCUAGGGAUAACAGCGCAAUCUACCUCGAGAGCUCAUAUCGACAGGUGGGUUUACGACCUCGAUGUUGGAUCAGGGUAUCCUAGUGGUGCAGCCGCUACUGAUGGUUCGUUUGUUCAACGAUUAAAACCCU
rnacentral:rRNA from 1 species